ensembl:lncRNA
GCUCGCCUGGUCGCUGACAGACAUCGGCUUUGGCCCUGAAGAUAAAUGACCCAAAGUAUUAAGGUUUAACACGUUGACAAAACCCACCUGAUCGGCGGAGAUUAAUGAAACAACGAAAAUCCUUCUUUGGAAAAAAAAGAAGGGGGGGGCGGUUGAUGUGGAGUCACAGGAGAGUAAAUGCCAAGGCAACGUGAGGUCAAACGAUAUUUAGGAUCCAGAGCCGAGAGGCAGAACGAGAGGGCCGUCGCGUGCAGCGGCCAUGGCACACCGCUCCGUGACCACGUCCGCCAUCAGCAGCCGGAGAGACGAGACGAUACGGAGAUUAUCGGGACAAAAAGCCUCCCAGCUUGUCACGGGAUGCAGAGCGUAUUGUACAUCCGCAUGUAUUGAACACAAACCUGUCACCGUCUGCGACAGCCCCAUUCAUCACGCGCAAAGCCAAUCCUGUCAGCGGCACAAUGCGCUCUAUCCACCCCCCACCCCCACUUCUAAGUGACAGCGUUGAAAUGAACAUUAGGACACCCGGGUAUGUAUUCAAAUGAUUUGUUUCUCUUUUUUUCCACCUCCCACAGAAGCCAAUUUCCAGAGGCUAAUAAACUCGGGAGUUAUUUCAUCGCAGAAGAAAAAAAAGGGGGACGGGUUCACUGCGACACCAAAAAGGCCCCGUGGGUGUUUGCAAAUGGAAAACGGCGGAUCUUUCCUGCACAGAUCCAGGAGAUUAUCACCAAGGGUCCGACGCGGGACACCCGAGCCUCGUGGCCGGUCCCACUGGACGGACGGGAGGUGUUUUCCUGAAGGAACCAGCCGACGUCGUGGAGCAGCAGAUGAUAGAGCCGUUAAAGCAGAACUAAGU